rnacentral:rRNA from 1 species
CGCCAGACUCCUACGGGAGGCAGCAGUGGGGAAUAUUGCACAAUGGGGGGAACCCUGAUGCAGCGACGCCGCGUGGGCGAGGAAGUCUUUCGGUAUGUAAAGCCCUAUCGGCAGGGAAGAAGAAAUGACGGUACCUGACUAAGAAGCCCCGGCUAACUACGUGCCAGCAGCCGCGGUAAUACGUAGGUGGCAAGCGUUGUCCGGAUUUACUGGGUGUAAAGGGCGUGCAGCCGGGCUGACAAGUCAGAUGUGAAAUCCCGCGGCUCAACCGCGGAACUGCAUUUGAAACUGUCAGUCUUGAGUACCGGAGAGGUCAUCGGAAUUCCUUGUGUAGCGGUGAAAUGCGUAGAUAUAAGGAAGAACACCAGUGGCGAAGGCGGAUGACUGGACGGCAACUGACGGUGAGGCGCGAAAGCGUGGGGAGCAAACAGGAUUAGAUACCCCGGUA